GGCUAGGUAGUUCAGUGUUUAGAGCACCUGGUAUUUAUCUGGGAGGUCCUGGGUUCAACCCCCAGUCUGGCCA